rnacentral:rRNA from 1 species
UGGGGAAUUUUGCACAAUGGGGGAAACCCUGAUGCAGCGACGCCGCGUGAUUUAGAAGGCCUUCGGGUUGUAAAAAUCUUUUCUAUGGGAAGAAAAUGACAGUACCAUAGGAAUAAGGACCGGCUAAAUACGUGCCAGCAGCCGCGGUAAUACGUAAGGUCCGAGCGUUGUCCGGAAUCAUUGGGCGUAAAGGGUACGUAGGCGGGUAAGCAAGUUAGAAGUGAAAUCCUAUAGCUCAACUAUAGUAAGCUUUUAAAACUGCUCAUCUUGAGGUAUGGAAGGGAAAGUGGAAUUCCUAGUGUAGCGGUGAAAUGCGCAGAUAUUAGGAGGAAUACCGGUGGCGAAGGCGACUUUCUGGCCAUAACCUGACGCUGAGGUACGAAAGCGUGGGUAGCAAACAGG